rfam:Brachypodium distachyon strain Bd21 chromosome 1, whole genome shotgun sequence.
GUGCUACUCGCUCCGUCUAACAAAAAAUGUCUCAAGUUUGUCAAAAUUUGGAUGUAUCUAGAUGUGACUUAGUGUAUAGAUGCAUUCAAAUUUAGUCAAAGUUGAGACAUCCUUUGUUGGACGGAACGAGUACUUG